CGCGUCGACAUCGGACGCUAUGACACACUCGUGCCUUAUGUGCCACCGAAGCCCCGAAGUGCUCUGGCAUAUACCUUCACAUGUUUCCCUUCAGUAGGAAAUUGCUGGACAGGCGGACCAGCGCACCGGAAUUGUACUGGCGAAGCCACAAGCAACUCAAAGAAUCUGUUUAAUUGUUGUACUUUGAACAAUUAUGCUUCUACAAAGGCCACAGCAGAAAAACAGCCUGAUGCCGAGUAUUUCUGUGCCACGAAGUAAUCAAGAGAUAUGCAAUGGCAAGCCCUUCCGUGUGUUCCAAAGGUAAAAUUUAAGCUCUAAAUUAAAGAAGACAUUUCUAGUCAGAAACAAGCAAAAAUGGUGAAUGCAGAGUAUCAGAAGCCCAAGGUACAGAAAUUAUGAGAAGUGUCGAAUGAUUUUUAGGAAAGAGUCGUAUUUGAAAAAGCAAGACUCUUUAGUGGAGGUCAAGCAAGUCAAUAUAGGUAGAAUACUCUGCAAAAUUAUGCGAGUGAGGGGAUGUCAAACAAUGGGUCAGGAAAUGCAUUGUUUUUCUGCAAAACAAAAGCUCAUUGCCAUUGCAUAAGUCACUUUAACGUCAUGAGACUGCUGCUUGAUAAAUUCAGAAAUAAACCAAAAAACAAGACACGCAAAAAUUAAAAAAAAAAACAAUUUAA